rnacentral:rRNA from 1 species
ACGCUGGCGGCGUGCCUAAUACAUGCAAGUCGAGCGAGCGGAACUAACAGAUUUACUUCGGUAAUGACGUUAGGAAAGCGAGCGGCGGAUGGGUGAGUAACACGUGGGGAACCUGCCCCAUAGUCUGGGAUACCACUUGGAAACAGGUGCUAAUACCGGAUAAGAAAGCAGAUCGCAUGAUCAGCUUUUAAAAGGCGGCGUAAGCUGUCGCUAUGGGAUGGCCCCGCGGUGCAUUAGCUAGUUGGUAAGGUAAAGGCUUACCAAGGCGAUGAUGCAUAGCCGAGUUGAGAGACUGAUCGGCCACAUUGGGACUGAGACACGGCCCAAACUCCUACGGGAGGCAGCAGUAGGGAAUCUUCCACAAUGGACGAAAGUCUGAUGGAGCAACGCCGCGUGAGUGAAGAAGGUUUUCGGAUCGUAAAGCUCUGUUGUUGGUGAAGAAGGAUAGAGGUAGUAACUGGCCUUUAUUUGACGGUAAUCAACCAGAAAGUCACGGCUAACUACGUGCCAGCAGCCGCGGUAAUACGUAGGUGGCAAGCGUUGUCCGGAUUUAUUGGGCGUAAAGCGAGCGCAGGCGGAAGAAUAAGUCUGAUGUGAAAGCCCUCGGCUUAACCGAGGAACUGCAUCGGAAACUGUUUUUCUUGAGUGCAGAAGAGGAGAGUGGAACUCCAUGUGUAGCGGUGGAAUGCGUAGAUAUAUGGAAGAACACCAGUGGCGAAGGCGGCUCUCUGGUCUGCAACUGACGCUGAGGCUCGAAAGCAUGGGUAGCGAACAGGAUUAGAUACCCUGGUAGUCCAUGCCGUAAACGAUGAGUGCUAAGUGUUGGGAGGUUUCCGCCUCUCAGUGCUGCAGCUAACGCAUUAAGCACUCCGCCUGGGGAGUACGACCGCAAGGUUGAAACUCAAAGGAAUUGACGGGGGCCCGCACAAGCGGUGGAGCAUGUGGUUUAAUUCGAAGCAACGCGAAGAACCUUACCAGGUCUUGACAUCUAGUGCCAUUUGUAGAGAUACAAAGUUCCCUUCGGGGACGCUAAGACAGGUGGUGCAUGGCUGUCGUCAGCUCGUGUCGUGAGAUGUUGGGUUAAGUCCCGCAACGAGCGCAACCCUUGUUAUUAGUUGCCAGCAUUAAGUUGGGCACUCUAAUGAGACUGCCGGUGACAAACCGGAGGAAGGUGGGGAUGACGUCAAGUCAUCAUGCCCCUUAUGACCUGGGCUACACACGUGCUACAAUGGGCAGUACAACGAGAAGCGAGCCUGCGAAGGCAAGCGAAUCUCUGAAAGCUGUUCUCAGUUCGGACUGCAGUCUGCAACUCGACUGCACGAAGCUGGAAUCGCUAGUAAUCGCGGAUCAGCACGCCGCGGUGAAUACGUUCCCGGGCCUUGUACACACCGCCCGUCACACCAUGGGAGUCUGCAAUGCCCAAAGCCGGUGGCCUAACCUUCGGGAAGGAGCCGUCUAAGGCAGGGCAGAUGACU